AUUAGCCAUAACGUGUACAUAAAAUAUAUUAAUAUAACGUAGUAAUCAUUUUCCGGACUUAAAAGUUAUAGUUUCACAUGCACAAGCAUUAGUCCCACCCAGAUGAGGACUAUUAUCACCGGAAGUUGACGGAAACCAUUGUCGGACGCAAACAGUUGGACAAUGCAUUAUAAUGCUAUCGGCGCAGAUAAUAAAGUGACACGCACAACCAGACAUUACAAAAGCACGAAGACUAACGCAAAACACGGAAUGGAAAAGCGCGAUGGCGUUGGUUGGUGAAUGAACGAAAACCUCCUUUAUCGAGCUAUAUGCC